AUUGAACGCUGGCGGCAGGCCUAACACAUGCAAGUCGAACGAGAGGCGGACGGGUGAGUAAUGUCUGGGAAACUGCCUGAUGGAGGGGGAUAAAUACUGGAAACGGUAGCUAAUACCGCAUACCAUCAGAUGUGCCUAGAUGGGAUUAGCUUGUUGGUGGGGUAACGGUUGACCAAGGCGACGAUCCCUACCUGGUCUGAGAGGAUUAACAGCCAAACUGGAGCUGAGACACGGUCCAGACUCCUAAGGGGGGGAGCAGUGGGGAAUAUUGCGCAAUGGGCGCAAGCCUGAUGCAGCCAAGCCGGGUGGAUGAAGAAGGCUUUCGGGUUGUAAAGUACUUUCAGCGGGGAAGCGUUAACCGAAGAAGAAGCACCGGCUUAAUCCGUGCCAGCAGCCGCGGUAAUAC
rnacentral:rRNA from 1 species